rnacentral:rRNA from 1 species
UACGUAGGGGGCGAGCGUUGUCCGGAUUUAUUGGGCGUAAAGAGCGUGUAGGCGGCUUGUCAAGUCCGGUGUGAAAUGUCACGGCUUAACCGUGAACCUGCAUUGGAAACUGACAGGCUAGAGUCUGGAUGAGGAAGGUAGAAUUCCUGGUGUAGCGGUGAAAUGCGCAGAUAUCAGGAGGAAUACCGGUGGCGAAGGCGGCCUUCUAGGACAGUACUGACGCUGAGACGCGAAAGCGUGGGGAG